AACCUCCGCAAUGUGAGAAAUCGCGACGGGGGGAUCCCAAGUGCCAUUCUUAACGGGAUGGCUUUUCAUUAGUGUAAAGAGCUUUUGGAAUAAGAGCUGGGCAAGACCGGUGCCAGCCGCCGCGGUAACACCGGCAGCUCUAGUGGUAACAAUUUUUAUUGGGCCUAAAGCGUCCGUAGCCGGUUUAAUAAGUCUCUGGUGAAAUCCUGUAGCUUAACUGUGGGAAUUGCUGGAGAUACUAUUAGACUUGAGACCGGGAGAGGUUAGAGGUACUCCCAGGGUAGAGGUGAAAUUCUGUAAUCCUGGGAGGACCGUCUGUUGCGAAGGCGUCUAACUGGAACGGUUCUGACGGUGAGGGACGAAAGUUAGGGGCGCGAACCGGAUUAGAUACCCGGGUAGUCCUAACUGUAAACGAUGCGGACUUGGUGUUGGGGUGGCUUUGAGCUGCUUCAGUGCCGAAGGGAAGCUGUUAAGUCCGCCGCCUGGGAAGUACGGUCGCAAGACUGAAACUUAAAGGAAUU
rnacentral:rRNA from 1 species